rnacentral:rRNA from 1 species
UACGUAGGUGGCAAGCGUUAUCCGGAAUUAUUGGGCGUAAAGCGCGCGUAGGCGGUUUUUUAAGUCUGAUGUGAAAGCCCACGGCUCAACCGUGGAGGGUCAUUGGAAACUGGAAAACUUGAGUGCAGAAGAGGAAAGUAGAAUUCCAUGUGUAGCGGUGAAAUGCGCAGAGAUAUGGAGGAACACCAGUGGCGAAGGCGACUUUCUGGUCUGUAACUGACGCUGAUGUGCGAAAGCGUGGGGAUCAAACAGG